UUGAACGCUGGCGGCAGGCCUAACACAUGCAAGUCGAGCGGAUGAAGGGAGCUUGCUCCUGGAUUCAGCGGCGGACGGGUGAGUAAUGCCUAGGAAUCUGCCUGGUAGUGGGGGAUAACGUCCGGAAACGGGCGCUAAUACCGCAUACGUCCUGAGGGAGAAAGUGGGGGAUCUUCGGACCUCACGCUAUCAGAUGAGCCUAGGUCGGAUUAGCUAGUUGGUGGGGUAAAGGCCUACCAAGGCGACGAUCCGUAACUGGUCUGAGAGGAUGAUCAGUCACACUGGAACUGAGACACGGUCCAGACUCCUACGGGAGGCAGCAGUGGGGAAUAUUGGACAAAGGGCGAAAGCCUGAUCCAGCCAUGCCGCGUGUGUGAAGAAGGUCUUCGGAUUGUAAAGCACUUUAAGUUGGGAGGAAGGGCAGUAAGUUAAUACCUUGCUGUUUUGACGCUACCAACAGAAUAAGCACCGGCUAACUUCGUG
rnacentral:rRNA from 1 species